rnacentral:rRNA from 1 species
GAACUUAAGCAUAUCAAUAAGCGGAGGAAAAGAAACCAACAGGGAUUGCCUCAGUAACGGCGAGUGAAGCGGCAACAGCUCAAAUUUGAAAUCUGGCUCUUUCAGGGUCCGAGUUGUAAUUUGUAGAAGAUGCUUUGGGUGUAGCUCCGGUCUAAGUUCCUUGGAACAGGACGUCAUAGAGGGUGAGAAUCCCGUAUGUGACUGGGUGCUUUCGCUCGUGUAAAGCUCUUUCGACGAGUCGAGUUGUUUGGGAAUGCAGCUCAAAAUGGGUGGUAAAUUUCAUCUAAAGCUAAAUAUUGGCCAGAGACCGAUAGCGCACAAGUAGAGUGAUCGAAAGAUGAAAAGCACUUUGGAAAGAGAGUUAAACAGUACGUGAAAUUGUUGAAAGGGAAGCGCUUGCAACCAGACUUGCGCGCUGUUGAUCAUCCGAGCUUUUGCCCGGUGCACUCGGCAGCGUUCAGGCCAGCAUCGGUUUUGGUGGGCGGAUAAAGGCCUUGGGAAUGUAGCUUCUUUCGGGGAGUGUUAUAGCCCUCGGUGCAAUGCGCCCUACCGGGACCGAGGACCGCGCUUCGGCUAGGAUGCUGGCGUAAUGGUUGUAAGCGACCCGUCUUGAAACACGGACCAAGGAGUCUAACAUCUAUGCGAGUGUUUGGGUGUCAAACCCAUACGCGUAAUGAAAGUGAACGGAGGUGAGAACCCUUAAGGGUGCAUCAUCGACCGAUCCCGAUGUCUUCGGAUGGAUUUGAGUAAGAGCAUAGCUGUUGGGACCCGAAA